GGAGAAAGUUACUGUUUCAAUUUACCAGGCUCUUACCUGUGUGUAUGUGAGGUGGGAUUUGGUGGGCCAGAUUGCGCAGACAUUGACGAGUGUCGGUUUCCGGACACCUGCCCAGAUGGCCACACCUGUGUGAACACACCAGGCAGCUAUAAGUGUAUCUGUGAUUCUCACACUGGUGGCAAUUGCACAGGUAUAAUUUUUCCUUAAAGGAGCAGUGGAAGUGGUUCUGUGAGUUUGAGUUCGAAGGUCACCUCCAUUCAUCAAUCUCACAAUGACCUGUGUGAACCAAUGUGUUCCCAUGUUCCCUCAAGA